rnacentral:sRNA from 1 species
CUUUAACUCAAAGGACUUACCAGCAUUACUAGAAUCAUCAAAAGGUUUUGGUUUUUUCCUAAAAUGAAAUAGGCAUAGAAAUAGCGAAGUAUGGCCCAAGUUUUUGUCCCUCUCAUACUAUGACCCUACCUGCCACUGCCAAGGACUUCCACACCAUCCAUUAUAGGAUGAAUUUUCUUUCCUGAGUUCUGAUCUCAAACACCAUGGUUAAAUCUCUUUUAAAUUGUUCGCCUCCCAGAUGACAGGCCGGGACCUUCUCAAGGAUCGAAGUCUGAAGCCUGUGAAGAUCGCUGAGAGCGACACUGACGUCAAACUGAGCAUCUUCUGUGAACAAGACAGGGUCCUCCAGGACUUGGAAGACAAGAUACGAGCCCUUAAAGAGAACAAAGACCAGCUAGAAUCUGUGCUAGAGGUGUUGCACAGACAGAUGGAGCAGUACCGAGACCAGCCCCAGCACUUGGAGAAGAUUGCCUACCAGCAGAAGUUGCUGCAGGAGGACCUUGUCCAUAUCCGAGCUGAGCUCUCCAGAGAGUCCACUGAGAUGGAAAAUGCUUGGAACGAAUACCUGAAGUUGGAGAAUGAUGUGGAA